rnacentral:rRNA from 1 species
AGUGAACGCUGGCGGUAGGCCUAACACAUGCAAGUCGAACGGCAGCACAGUAAGAGCUUGCUCUUACGGGUGACGAGUGGCGGACGGGUGAGGAAUACAUCGGAAUCUACUUUUUCGUGGGGGAUAACGUAGGGAAACUUACGCUAAUACCUCAUACGACCUACGGGUGAAAGCAGUGGAGCUUCGGACCUUUCGCGAUUGAAUGAGCCGAUGUCGGAUUAGCUAGUUGGCGGGGUAAAGGCCCACCAAGGCGACGAUCCGUAGCUGGUCUGAGAGGAUGAUCAGCCACACUGGAACCGAGACACGGUCCAGACUCCUACGGGAGGCAGCAGUGGGGAAUAUUGGACAAUGGGCGCAAGCCUGAUCCAGCCAUACCGCGUGGGUGAAGAAGGCCUUCGGGUUGUAAAGCCCUUUUGUUGGGAAAGAAAAGCAGCAGGUUAAUACCCCGCUGUUCUGACGGUACCCAAAGAAUAAGCACCGGCUAACUUCGUG